AAACAAUUAAAAUGCAAUUAAAAUAGAUUGAGAGUGUGUGGAACUUAGAAUUAAGUGGGAAGCUUGUCCAUUGAAAUAAUCUGCCUGUCCUUCAGAAGACGGUGCCUGGCCAAAAAAA